ensembl:snRNA Gm25414 predicted gene, 25414
GUGUUCACUUCGGCAGCACACAUACUAAAAUUAGAAUGAUACAAAGAAGAUUAGCAUGGCCCCAGCACAAGGAUGACACACAAAUUCGUGAAGCGUUCCAUAUUUUA